CUACAAAUCUCAGAAUCGAAAUGGGAAAAAUAUUAAUGGAUCUUACCGUAUUGCCAAAAGUUGCUAUAGGAUACAAUACCAUUUGGGUGAUAUUGAACCGAUUAAUGAAAUUAGAUCAUUUUCUUUCCAUAAGAGUAACCUUUUAAAUGGAAUAGUUCGCCCUGAAAAUUGUACAACAUGGUUUACCGAUCUCAAUAUGACUCGGUACAACAGUGGAUCUAUUCAGAUAAACAACAUAAGCUAUUUGAAUUAUUAAAUUGUUCUCCACUAAGUCUUGUAUUCUCCUGAAGUACAUAGACAUGGAGAUGAUUAGAAGGUCUAGAAUCUGCAAUAUAGGAAUUUGUAGAAUCAAUCGCUAAACAAGAAUCAACAACAUAAAACUUACAUACACUCUACCUUUUUGGUUAGUGCAUCUGAACAAUCUUUCUUCCAGUAUCCUUUGCAAUCGCAAUUGAAAUACUUGCCUCUUGGCAUUCAUAUGCUUUGGACUUUUUGUUGCUUCAUUGCUUCUCGUUAACUCCCUUAAUCUUCUUUCCAAAUUCAAUUUUUGGCUUGGAACCAGAGAAGCUACCAAUCACUGCAUGAGCAUCGCUACCUUUACCAUUUAGACCAAUUUUCACAUUCUACAACUA
rnacentral:lncRNA from 1 species